UACGUAGGGUGCGAGCGUUGUCCGGAAUUAUUGGGCGUAAAGAGCUUGUAGGCGGUUUGUCGCGUCUGCCGUGAAAAUCCGGGGCUCAACCCCGGACUUGCGGUGGGUACGGGCAGACUAGAGUGUGGUAGGGGAGACUGGAAUUCCUGGUGUAGCGGUGAAAUGCGCAGAUAUCAGGAGGAACACCGAUGGCGAAGGCAGGUCUCUGGGCCACUACUGACGCUGAGAAGCGAAAGCAUGGGUAGCGAACAGG
rnacentral:rRNA from 1 species